GACAGAGGGGGCAAGCGUUGCUCGGAAUCACUGGGCGUAAAGGGCGCGUAGGCGGGAUGGCAAGUCGGUCGUGAAAUCCCUGGGCUCAACUCAGGGGGGUCGGCCGAUACUGCCGUUCUUGAGGGAUGCAGAGGAGACUGGAAUUCCCGGUGUAGCGGUGAAAUGUGUAGAGAUCGGGAGGAACACCGGUGGCGAAGGCGGCUCACUGGACUGGUACUGACGCUGAUGCGCGAAAGCGUGGGGAGCGAACAGG
rnacentral:rRNA from 1 species